rnacentral:lncRNA from 1 species
GCUCCUAGCCUUGGUGGGAGAAGUGGGCGAUCUAGCAGAACUCUUUCAGUGAAAGUCUGAGGCAGAGCCUGAUCCUCAGGCGUGGCAGCCAAAGGAGAGAGCAGCCCUUCAGGAGGAGCUUAGUGACGUCCUCAUCUACCUGGUGGCAUUAGCAGCCCGUUGUCAUGUGGACUUACCUCGAGCAGUAAUCUCCAAAAUGGACACCAACCGCCAACGUUACCCAGUCCAUCUGUCCCGGGGCUCUGCCUGCAAGUACACAGACUUGCCCCGUGGGACCCUCUCUGAAAACGAGACUGUGGGGUCUGGAGACCCUGCCUCUGAGUUGGGAAACCAGGCUUCCACCUAGAAAAACAGUGCUAGUCUGGUCUUUUUUAAGUCAUAGAUCUGGGCCUGGUGUUUUCUCUCUCAUUAAAAUAAGGUAAGGAAAAAAAAAAAGACACAA